rnacentral:rRNA from 1 species
AUUGAACGCUGGCGGCAUGCUUUACGCAUGCAAGUCGAACGGCAGCGCGGGCUUCGGCCUGGCGGCGAUUGGCUAACUGGUGAGUAAUACAUCGGAACGUGCCCAGUGGUGGGGGAUAGCUCGGCGAAAGCCGGAUUAAUACCGCAUACGACCUGAGGGUGCAAGCGGGGGAUCUUCUGACCUCGCGCUAUUGGAGCGACCGAUGGCAGAUUAGCUAGUUGGUGGGGUAAAGGCCUACCAAGGCGAGGAUCUGUAGCUGGUCUGAGAGGACGACCAGGCACACGGGGAGUGAGACAGGGCCGAGACACUUACGGGAGGCAGCAGUGGGGAAUUUUGGACAAGGGGCGAAAGCCUGAUACAGCAAAGUCGCGUGUGUGAUGAAGGACUGAGGGUGGGAAAGCACUUUUGGCGGGAACGAAAAGGAGUGUGCCAAUAACACGGGUCGAUGACGGUACCCGCAGAAGAAGCUCCGGCUAACUACGUG